rnacentral:rRNA from 1 species
UCGACCUGAGCUCUGCCA